CUUUUUGCUAUAAUUUUGAUAUUAUUUCGCUAUAGUUUCUGUGGAUACCUAUUUGAAAUAUCACAAUAUGAGGAAUAUGUGGAAAAAUUACACAGCCAGUCGAUCUUUUUAAACAUUUCAUUUUUAAUCCCAAGGCUCUUCAACAUUUAUGUCGGCUUUCAGGGAAUAAUCUUUGCUUUGAGAUCUGCUCAUGCCACAUCGAGAUCUAUUUCGAUCUUCCUUUGACGAGUUUCAACCUCUGAAGCAACACAUAAGUCAGGACAAGUUCUGCGUAAUUUACAUGUUUUGAUGGUUUUGCAGAUGAACUU